rnacentral:misc_RNA from 1 species
AACACAGCGAGUCGCGGACUCAUUACAUUACUUCAUUUGCCGAUUGAAAACCUGCGAUUAGGGCACGUUCAGAGUUGUACCUAAGCUUUGGGCACGUUAGCACUCUGUGUGUACACUCCAAAUGUUGACUGAUUGAGUUCGAGAUGGAGGAUCCCAAUGUACCGAGCCAUGCCAUCGUGAAGUUACGUAGCAAGCAGCUGGUAGACGCCCAGGUCAGCGAGUUUGACGUGCCUGAUUUACC